UACGAAGGGGGCUAGCGUUGCUCGGAAUCACUGGGCGUAAAGGGUGCGUAGGCGGGUCUUUAAGUCAGGGGUGAAAUCCUGGAGCUCAACUCCAGAACUGCCUUUGAUACUGAAGAUCUUGAGUUCGGGAGAGGUGAGUGGAACUGCGAGUGUAGAGGUGAAAUUCGUAGAUAUUCGCAAGAACACCGGUGGCGAAGGCGGCUCUCUGGACCGAGACUGACGCUGAGGCGCGAAAGUGUGGGGAGCAAACAGG
rnacentral:rRNA from 1 species